CACACACACACACACACACACACACUCUCUCUCUCUCUCUCUCUCUCUCUCUCUCUCUCUCUCUCUCUCUCUCUCUCUCUCUCUCUCUCUCUCUCUCUCUCUCUCUCUCUCUCUCUCUCUCUCUCUCUCUCUCUCUCUCUCUCUCUCUCUCUCUCUAUCCAGCUGCUGGGACGAGGGUACAAGACUCUGAGCUACUACUACAAGAGAUUGGAACAUUUGCAAACGGAAUGGGCCUGAAUGGACUUGUUUUAUUAUGGCAACUGGCUUUCAGUAGCAAAAAAAUCUACUGAAAGCCAGUAGGAUAGGAAUGGCUGUACGUCCAUUUCAAAGCUAAAAAGUUAUGUUUGAUGGUGUUCUUAGAUCAGUGAUUUGUUUCGGGCUAUUUUAUUUCAUAGCUAAAUUUGAGGUUGUACUACGAACUUCCGAGUUGGGAUACGAAUAAUAUAAAUAGUCAGCUGCACAGAGAGAUCAGUUCUCUGAGUAGUCUUUUGCUCUGAACAUGUGAAGCAAGAAAUCAUCAACUAUUAGUCUUGUUGUGUACUAUACCAUGCAUGUUGCUUAAGAAGGGGGUGGGGCUAGCUGGUCUGCCUGCAGCCCUUGUGACAAAUUGACAUCUAAUGUGCAUGCGUAGAUCUGACCAUGUGCUGCUCAACAGGGCCAGAAAGAAGAGUACUAAUGCCGGCGAAUCCAACUCACCACGAACAACAUUGAAGUCAACUGAUGUCUUCAUGAUUUAACCCAAAUGACACCAAGAUAACAGACCACUUGCUGCACAUGCAGAGGGAGUUAUAAUGACUGUACACCCACUGUGCCAGACAACGUUGAAAGCACUCAAGUGAGGGAAAUAAGGUACCGUAUUACUAGAAUAAUUAUGUUGCAGUUAUUUAUGUAGGAUUAUAUAUAGACACCUCCAAUAUUAUUUCUGUCUGUGUUGCAUGCAUCUUUAUAUAAUUAUGUUGUGGCCCACUGAUUGACUGUACCUGCACAUCAGACAUGCUUUAUUGGCCUCUUUACUGCAACUCUACUGCAAGUAUCAGUACCUGUGCAUUUGGAUUCUCAGCCACGUAUAGACUACAUCAUCCAUAUGGCAGCUGUAUCAGUAGAUGCAGCUCUGGCUUUUGCCCGCAACUCCACCCCAAUGGCCCUAAGAAUUAGGGUAAAAAGAUGUGAGCUACCCGAUGGUGUGAUUGUCCUUCCUCCACCUAAGAGGAAAUGCUCAGUGAGUGACCAUACAUGUGUGUGUAUAUAAUUAUAAUUAUGCGUGAGUGUUCUGUAUUACAGUUAUACACGCUCAAAUUCCCGAACAGAUAGAGGCUUUUAUUUGUAGUUUGUAGCUUUUGCAAGCUAUCAUAUAAAUUCAAAGAUGUUCUAGUCCCACAAACGUUAUCAAUAAUUAUAACAUUUGUUUUAUGUUUUUGUUUCUGCGUUAUAUAGAUGUUUACCAUGUAUAAUAUAUGUAAUUGCCGAGCGUCUUAGCGCGCAGUAGUUAUAGUGUAUGCAUGUAUAUCACGCUCAGGAUGCGGAAUUAGGUGUGGCUAUACAUUCGGUAAUUACCUCUAAACUGAUCUAUACACGAAAAGAAAAGCCCAUGGCAUCUAAAUGCAGCUGCAAGUGCAGCACUGGCUCUUGCCACACCUGCGUGUGUGCCCAGGGAGGCAGGCACUGCACAAAUUGCCUCCCUGCUACAAGAAGUAGCUGUACUAACCAGGUUAGUCUCUAUCCAUGUUAUUAUAUAUAAUAUAGCUAAGUCACUCAGUGUUGUAAGUGUGUGUGCAGUGCUUGGCCGACUAGCUCAUGAGUUAGUUGUCAUAGAGUCUCUGGUGGUCUAUAAUUUUCCCAUGUGCAUUUUCAAAAAAUUAAUUUGUUGGAUGCGAGGAGUUUUCAUGGUGCGUUCAAUAUAGACACAAUUUUUCUAGCCAUGCAUAUAAGCAUACUGCUUGAUUUAGUUAAUUAUUCAUAUCAUGCACUGAUUCCUCACAGCCUAAUGCAUCAACUCUACCAGCUACCACAGACCCCACGCUGAGGCUGGGGGUUAAAAGAUGUGAGGCUGGUCCUAACCCACCAGCUACUAUCCCACCAUCCAGCCCUAGCUGCUAUCGGCCCAAUUACACUAAGGCUGAAACGAUGUAACGUGAGUGUCAGCGCUGGUCCAUGCCCCAACUCCCUAACCCACCAGCCCCACCUCCAACCCUAGCUACCGCGCGGGCGGGGCCCAAUUACCCUGAGGCUAAAGAGAUGCAGCUUGAGUGUCCAGUAGUAUCAUAUAGAGUGUGCUAUGUUGGAACUCCAACCACUACCCCAACUCCAAUCCUGAAAGAGUAAGGAAAUGUGUGACGACCUUGACUACCCAUGGAACAUCAGUAGAAACCAAACCGUGACCCCACCUCCUCGACUAACCCAGCCACAUCCUCCUCGACCAACCCAGCCACAGCGAACCCAGCCACAGUAAUCUCCCUCCCCCCCCAGAAACCGCAGUGCCCUUACCUACGUGCGUGUACAACAGCAGGGGAUAUCAGGGAGGCUCUCCACUGCUUUGGAACCACCAGUGCAUGUUAGUCACAUGACCACCUCCAACAAGACCUUCUUUGAAGAGGUCCAAUUAAUGCUUUACUUGAGGAGGGUAACUGAACUAAAAUAAUAUUUGUUGUUGCUUGUUUGUUCUUAUCUUAUUGUUAUUGUUGAUUAUCUUACUGUGGUUAAAUUUUCCAUUCUCCCCAAC